UACAGAGGGUGCAAGCGUUGUUCGGAAUUAUUGGGCGUAAAGGGCGCGUAGGCGGUGCGGUAAGUCUGUAGUGAAAUCUCUGGGCUCAACUCAGAGUCUGCUGCAGAAACUGCCGUGCUUGAGUGUGGGAGAGGUGAGUGGAAUUCCCGGUGUAGCGGUGAAAUGCGUUGAUAUCCACAGGAACUCCGGUGGCGAAGGCGGCACGCUGGACCUUUUUCUGACGCUGAGGCGCGAAAGCCAGGGGAGCGAACGGG
rnacentral:rRNA from 1 species